rnacentral:lncRNA from 1 species
GGAGGAAGGAAGGAAGGAAAGAAAGAAGGAGAAGAAAAAAAUUUUUUCUAAGCACAUAAUGCAAUGCUCAAUUCUUUUUAGAUAAUGGGAAGCAGAGUUUGAAUUGUUCCCUUUGUAAAAGAUAACUCAUUUUAGCUCCAUUUCCUUCCUGGAGGUAGGAAAGCAAGUUUGGUAGUGAAUAGGCCAGUUAGUACAUCGUAUCCAAGCUGGUCAGAUCCUGGGACUGUUGAGACAGAUUCUUGUGCACAGAACCACACAAAUCAGAGAUUCAGAAAACAUGAGAGUAAUGAAAGCUAAGACCCAUAUGUGAAAUACAUAAGGGUUAGUCAGAUUUUAAUUAAAAAUGUAUUUUUUUUUAGAGACAGGGUCUCCCUCUGUCACCCAGGAUGGAAUGCAGUGGCAUGAUCAUAACUCACUGUAGCCUCAAAUUUAUGAGCCCAAGGAAGCCUCCCACCUCAACCUCCUGAGUAGCUGGAAUAGCUGAGACUACAGAUGCAUGCCACAAUGCCCAGAUUUUUCUUUUCUUUUUCUUUUUCUUUUUUUUUUUUUUUUUGAGACAGGAUCUCACUGCACUACCCAGGCUGGUCUUGAACUCCUGGCCUCAAGUAAUCCUCACACCUUGGCCCUCUAAAUUGCUGGGAUUAUAGGCAUGGGCUACCAUGCCAGGCCCCUAAAAAAUAUAUUUUUUUAUGAUAAGCCACUUCUGCAGUUCAAUAUGUGUACUUGCUUUAAACCCUACUUUGAAUCUAAAUUACUUCCUUGAUGUUAAUUGAAUUAAGGUCUAGAGGUACCCUCCUACCUGACACAGACACACCCUGAUUUUCACCUUUGUAAAAGAUAACUCAUUUUAGCUCCAUUUCCUUCCUGGAGGUAGGAAAGCAAGUUUGGUAGUGAAUAGGCCAGUUAGUACAUCGUAUCCAAGCUGGUCAGAUCCUGGGACUGUUGAGACAGAUUCUUGUGCACAGAACCACACAAAUCAGAGAUUCAGAAAACAUGAGAGUAAUGAAAGCUAAGACCCAUAUGUGAAAUACAUAAGGGUUAGUCAGAUUUUAAUUAAAAAUGUAUUUUUUUUUAGAGACAGGGUCUCCCUCUGUCACCCAGGAUGGAAUGCAGUGGCAUGAUCAUAACUCACUGUAGCCUCAAAUUUAUGAGCCCAAGGAAGCCUCCCACCUCAACCUCCUGAGUAGCUGGAAUAGCUGAGACUACAGAUGCAUGCCACAAUGCCCAGAUUUUUCUUUUCUUUUUCUUUUUCUUUUUUUUUUUUUUUUUGAGACAGGAUCUCACUGCACUACCCAGGCUGGUCUUGAACUCCUGGCCUCAAGUAAUCCUCACACCUUGGCCCUCUAAAUUGCUGGGAUUAUAGGCAUGGGCUACCAUGCCAGGCCCCUAAAAAAUAUAUUUUUUUAUGAUAAGCCACUUCUGCAGUUCAAUAUGUGUACUUGCUUUAAACCCUACUUUGAAUCUAAAUUACUUCCUUGAUGUUAAUUGAAUUAAGGUCUAGAGGUACCCUCCUACCUGACACAGACACACCCUGAUUUUCAGGACUUACGUAUUUCAUAAAUCCUUAUCAAUAACUUUAUAAAUUAAUUAGGCACAAGCAGAUGAUUGUAAAGUUUUCAUAAAAUUUGUAGAAGAAAAAUAAUUUGUGUUUAUAAGAAUAUCACAGGAACUUUAGAGAC